AUGGAGGUCACCAUGGUGAGCAUUGGCAGGUCCGUGCUCAGCGGGGCACUUGGCUUCGCCAAGUCCAACUUCGCCGAGGAGGUGGCCCUGCAGCUCGGAGUAAAUCGUGACAAGGCCUUCAUCACCGACGAGCUGGAGAUCAUGCAGUCUUUCUUGUUGACUGCGCACGAGGAGCGAGACGAGCACAGCAGGGUGGUCAGGAUCUUGGUGAAGCAGGUCCGUGACCUUGCCUACGACGUCGAGGAUGGCCUUCAGGAUUUCUUCCUCCAUGUCCACCGGAAAUCCUGGUGGCGCAUCCCUCGCACACUCCUCGACCGGCAUCAUGUCGCAAGGCAGAUGAAGGAGCUGCGUGCCAAGGUUGAGGACGUGGGCCAGAGGAAUUUGCGCUACCGCCUCAUCGAUGGUACUUCCGAAGCUUCCCAUCUCUCCAUCACCACUGUUGCUCCCACGUUUGAUGUUUCUAAAGCACUAAGGCAAAUCACGGAUCAGCAUCAAUUAAGAUUAACAUUCAGUCUUGCCCAGCUGAUCAUCGCGCAAGAAUUGUUCUCGAAUAAUCAAAUCAGAGUGAUCGGAAUUUGGGGGGCAAGUGGCAGCAUUGGGCAUGCCUCCAUCAUCUGGGAUGCCUACUAUAAUCCAGAUGUAAAGCUAAAUUUCCCUUGCCGAGCAUGGGUCCGGCUGGCAUCCCCUUUCCACCCAAAAGAAUUUGUUCAAAGUAUAGUGAGACAGUUCCGAGCAACUGCCGAAGGAUUGGUUGAUUUUCCAUUGGAGUUGGAGCUGGAUGAGGCAAAAACGGGGCAAGAGUUGGCUGACGAAUACAGUAGGUAUGUCGAUGAGAAGAGGUACUUGAUCGUGCUUACUGGCCUAUCCACCAUUGAAGAAUGGCUUCAGAUCAAGACUUGCUUCCUGGAAAACAAGAUGGGGAGCCGAAUCGUAGUGUCCACAGAGCAAGCUGAAGUUGCAAACCUUUGUGCAGGCCAGAAAAGUAAGGUUUACAAGCUCGAACAAUUGUCUGAUGAUCAUACCAUCUAUGCUUUCUACCUGGAGUAUUUCUACAUGACAUUGGACUGCACCAAGAAAGUGAUACAAGAAGACCAACCUAAUACAGAUGUUGAUGGAAAGAACGAGAUACAAGAAGACCAAGAUGAGCUCACACACUCCAACAAGAUGGGUUGUGUUCCAAGGGAAUUUCAGCUUAUUGGACGGGAGAAAGAAAAAUCUGAUAUUAUUGAACUGAUUCGAGAACUCUCUAGCAUCAGACAGUUUGAGGUGAUUGCGGUGUGGGGAAUGAGUGGUUUUGGAAAAACCACUCUGAUCAAAGAUGUUUGCCAGGGACAAGAGGUCAAUGACAUGUUUGACAAAACUGCUUUUGUCACGGUCUUGCAGCCUUUCAGGCUUGAGGGGCUCCUUAGGAGCUUGGCAUUGCAACUAGAUGCAAGCAAGGGAAAUAUUGCUUCAAUGGGAGUUGCAGAUCUGACUAGAGUGUUGGGUAGGCAUAUAAAAGGAAAGAGUUGCUUGAUUGUUCUUGACGACCUCCCAUCUACUACGGAAUGGGAUACAAUAAUGGCAAGUUUAGGUGCAAAGGGUACUUCAAGCUUGGUCAUUGUGAUCACCACAAGGCGGGAGGAUGUUGCUAAGCAUUGUUGCAAAAAACCAGAAUGCAUACGCUUGCUCAACGGUCUAGAAGAAAAGGAUGCGUUGUACCUGUUCACAAGAAAGGUAUUUAAGAAUAAGAAAACAGAUUUGGCUCGGGAGUAUCCUAAGCUGGUUGUACCUGCAAAACAAAUCCUGAACAAGUGCAUUGGGCAUCCCCUUGCUAUAAUCUCCAUAGGUAGUUUCUUGGGAAGCCAACCACAAAAAACUGUUGCCGAGUGGAGGAAAGUGAAUGAGCUUCUCAGUGUUCAGCUGGAGAUGUAUACAUUGUUUCAUGCCAUAAAACUAGUCCUUAUGAAAAGUUAUGAUGGCUUACCCUAUUACCUCAAGUCUUGUUUCCUUUACCUAUCCAUCUUCCUUGAGGACCGCAAUGUUAGCCGAAGACGUCUGGUGUACCGAUGGGUUGCGGAAGGUUACUCAAGGGAUAUAGCUGUAGCGGAUAGUUACUUCAUGAAACUCAUAGAGAGAAGCAUGAUAUUACCAACUCAGGUUUCACAUUGCGGCGUACAAGGAAUUGACUCCUGUGAGCUACAUGAUCUGAUCCGUGAAAUCUGCAUUGCAACGUCAAUGGAGGAAAAUCUUGUUUUGAGGCUGGAGGAAGGGUGUAGCUUGAACAUGCAUAGCACAGUGCGUCACCUUGCCAUAAGCAGCAAUUGGGACGGAGAUGAGACUGAGUUGGAGAACACCGUGGAGCUGUCCCGUAUACGGUCGUUGACAGUGUUUGGCAAGUGGAGGCCAUUUUACAUUUCUCACAAGAUGAGGUUUCUUCGGGUGCUGGAUCUAGAAGGAGUAGAAGGUCUAGCUGAUCAUCACCUUGAGCACAUCGGGAAGCAUCUCCAUCUGAGAUACCUUUCUCUAAGAUGGUGUGAAGGCAUCACUUACCUCCCAGAUUCCAUCGGUAACCUGAGACAUCUCGAGACACUAGACAUCAAAGGGACAGAAAUAUUUAAACUGCCCAAAACCAUCACCAAGCUUAGUAAGCUACUUAAUCUCAAAGCUGGUCGCCCAUCCCUUUAUCCAUGUGAGCUUCACAAGGGGGCGAAACUACUAUGCUGCAUACCUAGCCGCAUGAGAUUUAACUGGCGUCAUGGUGCAUGCACUCCUUUUGCUAGGUGUAUAGAGGGAUACAAUGUUGGUGUUAAGGUGCCAAGAGGGACAAGGAAAUUGAAAGCCCUGCAUACACUGCGGUAUGUGCACCUUGCCUGGGGAAAUGCCAUUAUAAAAGAGAUAAAAUGUCUCACCAGCCUGCGAAAGCUAGGAGUGGUCGGCAUCAACAAUACAAACGGUCUGGAGUUCUGUUCAGCCAUUUCCAGUCUCUGCCGUCUUGAAUCGCUGUCAGUGCUGGCGCAUGAUAGCUUAAAUGGCUGUUUGGAUGGCAUGUGCACAGCUCCAGAAAAUCUCCAGAGCCUCAAGCUGUCCGGCAGCUUGGAAAAAUUGCCGGUAUGGAUCAAGGGGCUUCAGAAUCUGGUGAAGCUGAAGCUCCAGUUCACCACACUAUCAUGCAACUGGGCAGCCAUGGAGACCCUUGGGUACCUGCCAUACCUAUCCAUUCUGGGUUUGCAUGAGGGGGAGUCUAUGAUGGAUGUAAUCAGGUUCCAGAGUGGUCUGUUUAGAAAACUCACGGUGCUCGAUCUUCUCUACUUUAGCAUGGAAAUCAAAUCAGUGGAGUUUGAGGAAGGAUCAAUGCCCAAGCUUGAGGUGCUGACCCUUUUCCUUGAAGAUACUGAAACUGCCUUCUUUGGGCUAGAACAUCUGCGAAGCAUCAAGGAAGUACGGCUCGGGGUUCAGUUUAACGAGAAUUCAACCAAAUUCUCAGAAAAUAUGAGCUUAGAAGAAAUGGAGAAAGCAGAAGAACAGAGUAAAGAAGCAGAGAAGAAAACAAAACUCGUCAAAGACAAACUGAGGAAGGAGUUGCAGAUCCAACUUCAUAGGGAUGAAAACCGGCCCAUCUUGAAGGUGGAAUGA
rnacentral:rRNA from 1 species